UAACAUUCAUAUCUGCAAGCUUCAUGGACGGCUAGCAACUGCAGCAAAGAGCAACCGAAAACUUCCACCAUUUCCUCUACAAACUCCACCAAAUUCAACCAAAACUUCACACACACUUAGCUCUUCACUUGGACAAUCACUUGGACAAAGAAGGAGCUGCACAUUCACGGUUUUUCUUGGGGCUUUUGGACACCAAAAUCUGACCUUUUAGCACACAAGUAAGGUAACCAUGAUCCACUCUUCAAAUCUUGUUCAUUGAAGGCCAACUCACACUUAAGAGCUUGAUUAAUGCUUAUGGGUAGCUUAUUAUUGUUAGAAAUUGUUAAAUGUGGGCUCUAUGAACUCCCACUUUGAGUUGAUGGCUGUGAUGAUGUUUGAUGAUGGUUUUAUUGUUGAAUUAGUGCUUAAGGGAGUAGAUUAAAGGUGCAUUAUCGCCAGAAACUUCAUUGAGCUCUUGAAGCAAAAAGUUUCCAUUUUACCCCUGCUCUGUUCGUCACUUUAAUGCAGAAAUUUGAGGAUUUAAUGGCUUGAUUGUGUUGUUUAUAUGUUGUAGUAGUUGUGUAAAAGUUUUCAUUGAAAAAUACUGAGUUUUGGUUGGUCAAACGAAUUUAUUCCCAAAGCUAGUAAUCUGGAAAACGGUUUCGUCGUAAUCCAGACCAGUGUUCGUAUUUCGUCCAUAACUCCGUACUCCGACGUCGAAAUCAAGUGCCGUUAGCGGCAUUUGAAACUAGACGUUCCCAUCUUUCCAACGAUAUAUAAUGCACGUUCUGGUUCAUGUGUGUGAACCGUACCACUUAUUGAAUUCAGCUGCCCUGUUUCGCCAUUCUGCCGAAAUGAUUUGAUGAUGCUGCAACUUUAGGCUUAAUUUCGAGCUAGUUGCAUGCUGAAACAUAAAAUGAUUUCUUCUGUGAAAUUAUAGUCCUAUGCAUGUAUUUUCUAACACUAUCAACCAUGCUCAAAUCCGAGUUAAAUUGAGUGAGUUAUGAUCAAAAUACGGUGACUGUUUUGUUCUUGAAAGCCUUGGAUUUGGACAGAUUUGACGUACAUUUGUGGUGUCUUACUAAAUGAAUUUCUUGAUACUAAACACCUACCAAAUGUACCAUGAAUGUUUCUUAAACUUUCCUUUCACAAUGAACCAUGAUUGGAGGAUUUCUUAGCCAAACGAUUGGAUUUGGGAAGAAAAGGAUUAAGGGCAGAUUGCCUUGAGAAUUUUUCAAACUUUGGUUGAUUGGUUAACCACCUUCCCGAAGGUAUUUUUCCACGAAAUUUGAGAGAGAGAUACCCUUCAUAUAGGAGUACCAUACUACAAAAUUUGGUGUCAAUUCAAGUCCGUUUCGACACUUAACAAAAGGUCCAAAGUCGGAACCAAAUCUGAAAUUUUGUAAUAGUCUUGAAUUUUUCCCAACUUUGAGCUACCAUAUCUUGGUGCUCGAAACUCCGAUUCUCGAUUCGUUUGUUCUGUCCUAAACCUUACUUGAACCUCUAAUUGAUCUAUAAAUUUCUACGGGCUGAUUUGCAACGAGUGAAUUCUGCCGAAUUUCAAAGUUAGCGAAAAACCAACCCCGGCUCAAUCCUGGGUGAUCUGGGACAUCAACUUUAAACUCAUUUUUGAAUACCUUCCAUUUAGAUUCGUGGAACAGUAUCUUCUAAGAACUUUUAGUAAUUUCCAAGAGGUUUCCAACGGUAUAAAUUUUUCCAAUUGUAGACUUGUAUCGAGUGAGAUACGAUUUUUCAAAGAUCCAUAUCAAAACUAAAUUUUCCAACUUUCAAGGAAAUAGAGAUUUCCAAGAAUUUUUAUUCUUUCGACAUUAUGCAAACAUUUUAACCUCGAUUUCCAAGAUAAAAAUCCAAAUGCUCCUGUACUUUAAGAAACUCUAAUUGAACCUCGAUUUACGAGUAAUUGAGGUUCGAUUUCGUGGAAUUUCCUUAGAUUGUACUAGUGUACAAUCUUCCUUGACAAUUGGGAUAUAUGAAUGAUAAUACGUUAUUAUUUGCCCAGGCGCACACGAGGACCUUCAAGAGGAUCCUACCGUGCACACUUGAACUUCCAGAAAAUAUUUUUUCUUGAUUUGCUCGGUGAGUGUCAAGUGUAUGACUACUUGAACUCUAUGGAUUUGAUUCAUGCUUGGCUUACCUGAUUACAUGCUUAGCCUACUUGGUUUUGAAAAAUGGAGUCGAGUGUGUACUUUAUCGCACUCGUUCUCAUUUGAAACAAAUGACUCAUGCAACAUGGUUUGCCUGAUUUACAUGACCUGAAAUACAUGCUUAGACCUGUCAAAUGCUUGAAUACAUGAUAUGGUAUGCUAUGGCUGCAUACGUCGUUGGAGUGAAUCUCCUCGACACUUACAUGACACAUGGGGGACGUCCAAACUCAUAGGCCGACCUUGGAACUCGAGCCGGCAUGGGCUUGGUCGGGAACCUCGGUGAGCCAUGAGAUUCACAUGGUAAGCUUGAUCUAUUGGAGAGAUCUUGCUUGGCAUACUCGUGGAGUAUCGCCUCAUAAAUGUCGUGCGGGCCCGAAGCGGUGUAUGGUGGAUGGAUGAGAAGUAAGUGGUGAUCUACGGUUUGGAAAUAUCAAUCCGGUUGACGGAGAGUCAUCACGGGAAGAUAUACGAAUGAACUGGCAAAGCAAGUGGAACUUAGCUCUUGAGAGCUACCAUAUCCUUGAAUCGUUUCUGUUUACAUUUUUUUGGCAUUGUUAAUUACUUGCAAGUUAUCACUUGAACUGUUACUUGGGCUUGUUACCUGAACUAUGUGCCUGCAUGUGUGUUCUUGGCCUCACAAGCAUUUUGCUCACCCUAUAGAUUUGUUUUCCUUAACAGAUUUGAACUCGGAG
rnacentral:lncRNA from 1 species